rnacentral:rRNA from 1 species
CCCUUAGAUGUUCUGGGCCGCACGCGCGCUACAAUGGUCUUCGCAAACGGAUGCAUUCUCGAAGGAGAAUGCCAAUCUUGGAAUCUAUGCCUUGGUCGGGACAGUUGCUUGCAAUUUUUCGACUCGAACCAGGAAUUCCUUGUAAUCGUGAUUCAUCACAUCACGAUGAAUACGUCCCCGCCCUUUGUACACACCGCCCGUCGCUCCUACCGAUCGAAGAGUUAGGUGAAUUGUUUUGAUCGAUAAGAUUUGACUAUGGUCAACUCUCGUUGUGAAAUUCUGUGAAUCUGACUGUUUAGAGGAAGGAAAAGUCGUAACA